UAACGGCGCGCUUAUACAUGCAAGUCGAGCGAUGAGGCACCUUCGGGUGUACAUCAGCGGCAGACGGGUGAGUAACACGUGGGUGACCUACCCUAAAGACGGGGAUAACCCGCGGAAACGGGGGCUAAUACCGGAUAGCUACAGCGUACGGGGGUAUGUUGUAGAAAGCUACGGCGCUUUAGGAGGGGCCUGCGGCCCAUCAGCUAGUUGGUAGGGUAACGGCCUACCAAGGCAAAGACGGGUAGGGGGUGUGAGAGCACGGCCCCCACAAUGGGACUGGAACACGGCCCAUACUCCUACGGGAGGCAGCAGCAGGGAAUAUUGCGCAAUGGGCGAAAGCCCGACGCAGCGACGCCGCGUGAGUGAAGACGGCUUUCGAGUUGUAAAACUCUUUUCUGGGGGAAGAGGAAGGACGGUACCCGAGGAAUAAGCGUCGGCUAACUACGUGCCAGCAGCCGCGGUAAGACGUAGGACGCGAGCGUUAUCCGGAUUUACUGGGCGUAAAGCGCCUGCAGGCGGCUCUGUAAGUUGGGCGUGAAAGCCCCGUGCUUAACGCGGGGAAGCCGUUCAAUACUGCGGAGCUAGAGUACGGCAGAGGGGAGUGGAAUUCCUGGAGUAGCGGUAAAAUGCGCAGAUAUCAGGAGGAACACCAGUGGCGAAGGCGGCUCCCUGGGCCGAGACUGACGCUCAGAGGCGAAAGCUAGGGGAGCGAACAGGAUUAGAGACCCUGGUAGUCCUAGCCCUAAACGAUGGAUGCUAGGUGUGGGGACGAGGAGUUUCCGUGCCGGAGCAAACGCGAUAAGCAUCCCGCCUGGGGACUACGGCCGCAAGGUUAAAACUCAAACGAAUUGACGGGGGCCCGCACAAGCAGCGGAGCGUGUGGUUUAAUUCGAUGCUACACGAAGAACCUUACCUGGGUUUGACAUGUAGGUGGUAGCGAGGCGAAAGCUGAGCGACCCUUCGGGGAGCCUACACAGGUGCUGCAUGGCUGUCGUCAGCUCGUGCCGUGAGGUGUCGGGUUAAGUCCCGUAACGAGCGCAACCCUUGCUCCUAGUUAUACGUGUCUAGGGGGACUGCCGGCGGGAAGCCGGAGGAAGGUGGGGAUGACGUCAAGUCAGCAUGGCCCUUAUGUCCAGGGCUACACACACGCUACAAUGGCCAGUACAAAGGGUAGCGAAGCCGCGAGGUGGAGCGAAUCUCAGCAAAGCUGGUCGUAGUUCGGAUUGCAGGCUGCAACCCGCCUGCAUGAAGCUGGAGUUGCUAGUAACCGCGCGUCAGCUAUAGUGCGGCGAAUACGUUCCCGGGCCUUGUACACACCGCCCGUCACGUCAUGGGAGUCUGUAACGCCUGAAG
rnacentral:rRNA from 1 species